AGUUACAGGAACUCGAUUUAUCCAACAACAAAAUAUCAGAGGUCCGAGGGUUGUCUUUACUGGAAACUUUAACAUCAGUCAACCUCUCUGGGAAUGUUCUACGCUGUACUGAAUGUCUUGGAUCUCUUUGUUCUUUGCAGGAGUUGAAUCUUGCUGAUAACCAGCUGAAGUCUGUUAGCAGCUUUGCUCAACAAUUCCCUAACCUCGAAGUUCUUAAUGUAGUCAACAAUGACAUUGACUUCAGGGAUGGUCUAAAAUCUCUGACGCAGUGCUUCCACCUAGUGGAACUGAAUUUAGCUGGCAACUUAGCUGAGACACCAGAGGAAGAUGAAACCAUG